ensembl:lncRNA
UUUAAAAGGGCUCUGUAACAUAAAAUGAUGACUAUAUUAAUUUCGGGUUUGUACAGUUUCAAUAUGCAUAUGGACAAAGACUGGAAGAAAACAAUACCAAAAAAUUCUCACAUUGGGGUGAGGCGCUGACUGUGCAAUUCUGUCACCUUGUAUUGAAUGUCUAUUAGACCUGAGCAAAGGGUUAGGGAUUCAAGCAGGGCAGCUUCCCAUCUGCUAGUAGACAGCACAUCCUCAUCCUGUAUGGAUGAUCGCACGGAUAACUAUGGAGUUACCCAUGGUGAUGCACUACAGUAGUUCGUUCGCAUUGCAAUAAAGGAAUACCUGAGACUGUGCGAUUUAUGAAGAAAAGAGAUUGACUCGGCGCAUGGCUUUGUAGGCUGUAUGAGAAGCAUGGCACCAGCGUCUGCUUCUGGGGGCCUCAGGAAGCUUCUAAUCAUGGUACAAGGUGAAGGAGGAGCCAGCAUCUCACUUGGCCAAAGCACAAUCAAGAGAGAGAGGGAGGUGCCAGCCUCCUGUGAACUCACAGAGUGAGACCUCAUUUAUCACCAUGGCGAUGGCCCAAUCGCUUCAUGAGGGAUCUGCCCCCAUGAUCCCACACCUCCCGCCAGGCCCCGCCUCCAACAUUGGGGGGGCACAUUUCAGCAUGACAUUUGGAGGAGACAAAGAGCCAAGCCAUACCGUACCAGCAGGAAAGGAAGUCCUGGUUCCCAUGGAGUUUCGCUGUUGUUACCCAGACUGGAGUGCAAUGGCACGAUCUCGGCUCACCGCAACCUCCGCCUCCUGGGUUCAAGCAAUUCUCCUGCCUCAGCCUCCCAAGUAGCUGGGACUGCAGGAGGAGCCACCUUGAUCGCCAUGGCAAGGCAGGUCCACAGCCACACCCAGCCUACAUGGGAGCAGAGAAGCGGAGCUGCACUCUGGAGAAGAAUGUUUGUCAGUGUCUCUAAUAACUAUCGUGUCCCUGACACCUGGGGUGGAAUUCAUGAGCUCCAAGAGCAUUUUAUACCUGUGGCUGCUCUAAAUACUUCCCGUGUUGAACUGCCCUUCUGGAGGUCCCUGACACUAAAUUCCUGAGACCGGGGGAGGAGUAUUUAUCUGCCACUGUCUCUAACCUCGGUCCUGACAGAGGCGCAGAGCAGGUGCUCAGAUGUGCGGAAAAAAGAAACUCUUUUUACCUACUAAAACCUCUCCUUAUCUGGGAUUUUUACAAUGUGUAUUUAUAACUGCAAAUAAAUUAGUCUUUCCUCUCCUGGAUUUCCUGGAAAAAAAAAAAAAAGACAUGUUUUGGGAAAUUACUAUGACUCCAGAAAUCCCAGGGUAGCUAUGGAAGACUCAUCACAUGUAACUGGACAGAUGGCCAGGAGAGUUAGGAAAUAAAAAUCUUAUCAUCAGCAAACCUGCUGUCAACUUGCUAACGGGAGACAGGUGAUGGAAACAGAGAGCAGGAGUGCCGCGGCCUCUUCCCGGCUUCAGGUCUCUGCACUGUGCUCACUUGACUUCCGGAAACACUGAGUGUGCUGUGCUCAGUUAUCGGGAUAGCGUUUGCAUGACUUUAUACAAACAUAUAUUCAACUUCAUAUUUUAAUAAAGCUUCGUCUUUGCUAAAACAUAAAGGCUGACUGUCCAUAUUCCUUAAAAAGU